CCUUAGUGUCCAUGUGAUGGUCUCACGCCAGCCGCGCUGACUUGCAUUGCAUCACAUUCUGCCUUAUUUUGCACUUGUCCAUGCAUUUCUUUCUUCUCUUCCCAUUAGACAAACAGCUGUAUAGAAUAGAAACUGAUGAUUUUCUCUCUUCCUUUUGGUUCUAGCAUAGCUAAUAAAUAUGAAAUGGAACACUUCCUAGUUCAUCUGACUAAAACAACCCACACAAAAUUUCUUGGUCUUAAAUUUGAGCAGGAAACCUCAAAAAAAAAAAAAAUCAAAUGUCACCUCCUACUUCCUGUCUCCCUACUUUGGGCUCAGGACAAGCCUGAAAUGGUCCCUGUUGAAAUUGGUUUUCUUUGGCCAAAGCCAUAACAAGCCUUGAGGUGUGGGUGGGAAGAAAAAACAAAAUCAAGUUUUCAAAUCUGAAAAAUAAUCAGUCUUGGCAUGGGUUUUUCUGAGGCCUGCAAUGAAGACAUGUUUGUCCUCAUUUUAUUUGCUAAGCAAACUUUUUCUUUCUAUAGGACAACCUAUGUGCAGAUGCAGAACCUGGGGACCAGACAAGGCAGCAGCCCUGGCAACCUAUUAACUAUAGAUGGAAAUAUAAAUAGCUUAGCUCUGCAUCCAGAACUCUUCGUGGUCUUCACCCAACCUGCUGUUACAAACUUAACUCCUCCUCCUCUUCAGCUCACCAACUCUGGCUCAGCACAGCCCAACCAACAUUUAUCAUGCCCUGCACUGCACCGAGAAACUGGAAAGGCAUUGGAGUUACUAGGAUGGGCAAGACUCAGACCAUUCCUUUGGCAGGGACCAUAUUUGGUGUUUCUCAAGAAGGAGCAUUGUUACCCAACCAGGAAAGAGAGAAGACAGAUACAGGGAAGACAUCCUGCUUCCAUUGAGGUCAUUUCAAGAGCUUGGGUGAGGACCACGUAAGAAGAGACUUAGUCCGCAUAACCAAGGACAGAAAUCAGGUGACAUGGGCUGGAUAUAUUUUCUUUUAUAGGAUUCAAUGAGAUCACAACAUCAAGGACUACUGCAGUAAGUCAAUGGCAUCUAAAAAUGCUCAGAGUAGAUUCCUUUUAGGUAUUUGUGUAACAGCUUCAGUAGUGGCAAACAUUUGUGUAGAAAUUUCUCUUCUGUGUUAUCUCCAGCAAGUUUAAUGACAUGAUUGUUAACAUUUUUUAUAAAGGAAUACAUUAAAGCUCAGAGAAGUUAAAUCUCCUGCCCAAGACUAUGGAAUUGUAGGUGAAUUUAAGAUUUUAGCUGUGAUCUUUUGACUUCCCACUUUGAUGGUGACCAUCCCUGUCUCCUAUUUCUACUUAAAACACAAAUCUUUUGAUCCUACAUAUUCCAUGCUCCAUUCUAAGUUCAGAUAUUCUAAUUCUAAUUCUAACGCUAAUUUUAAUGUGUUAGUCCAUUUGCAUUGCUAUAAAGGAAUACCUGAGAUUGGGUAAUUUAUAAAGAAAAGAAGCUUAUUUAGUUCACUGUUCUGCAGGCUGUACAAGAAGCACGGAGCCAGCAUCUGCUUCUGGUGGGGACCUCUGGAAGCUUGCAAUCAUGGUAGAAAGCAAAGAGGGAGGCGGUAUAUCACACGAUGAAAGAGGAGCAAGAGAGAUGGGGAACUGCCACAAUCUUUUAAACAACCGGAUCUCAUGCAAAUUCCUUAUGACUCUUUACUGCAAAGAGGGCACCCAGCCAUUCAUGAGAGAUUCACCCCCAUAAUCCAACAUCCCCCAACAGGCCCCAGCCUCAACACUGGGGAUCACAUUUCAACAUGAGAUUUGGAGGGGACACACAUCCAAACCACAUCUGUUAACAACCAAAAAAGAAGUAGCAAGAGAUGGACAAGAUAUUUUAAUUCUGUAAAUGAAAAAAUAAAAGGGGAGUGCUUGGGAACUUCGGGGUGGAUUUUUAAGGGAGAGUCUUUUGUUGCUUCAGAGAUGAUGAAAGACACCAG
rnacentral:lncRNA from 10 species